rnacentral:rRNA from 1 species
AGAGUUUGAUCCUGGCUCAGGAUUAACGCUGGCGGCGUGCAUAACACAUGCAAGUCGAACGAUGAAACUUUUUUGAUUUCUUCGGAAUGAAAAAAGUGGAUUAGUGGCGGACGGGUGAGUAACGCGUGAGUAACCUGCCUUAGAGAAGGGGAUAGCCUUUGGAAACGAAGAAUAAUACCCUAUGAAACCAUAACCUCGCAUGAGGCCUUGGUCAAAGAUUUAUCGCUCUAAGAUGGACUUGCGUCUGAUUAGUUAGUUGGUGGGGUAACGGCCCACCAAGACAGCGAUCAGUAGCCGGCUUGAGAGAGUGUACGGCCACAUUGGGACUGAGACACGGCCCAGACUCCUACGGGAGGCAGCAGUGGGGAAUUUUGCACAAUGGGGGAAACCCUGAUGCAGCGACGCCGCGUGAUUUAGAAGGCCUUCGGGUUGUAAAAAUCUUUUCUAUGGGAAGAAAAUGACAGUACCAUAGGAAUAAGGACCGGCUAAUUACGUG